UAAGCCAUAGGCAUUUGGAGGAGACAAAAUUGAUUUGUCAUUACUUCCUCUGUAUCCAGACCAUACUGCCAGACACCUCUGGGAUGGAGAAGUAGCAUUAGUUGGAUUUAUUUUUUUUACGUUAAUUUUAAUUAAGAAAUUUAUGAGAUUGAUUUUUUUCAAGAGCGUGAUCCGCAAAAGUUCAUUAACCACGGGCGGAACAUUGUUGGCCUAAAGUCAAGACUGGUUAAAGUACGAUCAACCACGGGAUGCUUAAUGCAUUCGUG
rnacentral:lncRNA from 1 species